AGCAGUCGCCGCGGGAAUACGGAGGGUGCAAGCGUUAAUCGGAAUUACUGGGCGUAAAGCGCACGCAGGCGGUCUGACAAGUCAGAUGUGAAAUCCCCGGGCUUAACCUGGGAACUGCAUUUGAAACUGUCAGGCUGGAGUCUUGUAGAGGGGGGUGGAAUUCCAGGUGUAGCGGUGAAAUGCGUAGAGAUCUGGAGGAAUACCGGUGGCGAAGGCGGCCCCCUGGACAAAGACUGACGCUUAGGUGCGAAAGCGUGGGGAGCAAACAGGAUUAGAUACCCCUGUAGUCCCUGUCUCUUAUAC
rnacentral:rRNA from 1 species